GCAUCGGUAGCUCAAUCGGCAGAGCGGCGGGUUGAAGGUCCGCGCGUUGGAGGUUCGAUUCCUUCCCGGUGCACCA
rnacentral:tRNA from 1 species